AGCGAACGCUGGCGGCAGGCCUAACACAUGCAAGUCGAACGAACCCUUCGGGGCUAGUGGCGGACGGGUGAGUAACACGUGGGAACGUGCCUUUAGGUUCGGAAUAACUCAGGGAAACUUGUGCUAAUACCGAAUGUGCCCUUCGGGGGAAAGAUUUAUCGCCUUUAGAGCGGCCCGCGUCUGAUUAGCUAGUUGGUGAGGUAAUGCCUCACCAAGGCUACGAUCAGUAGCUGGUCUGAGAGGAUGACCAGCCACAUUGGGACUGAGACACGGCCCAAACUCCUACGGGAGGCAGCAGUGGGGAAUCUUGCGCAAUGGGCGAAAGCCUGACGCAGCCAUGCCGCGUGGAUGAUGAAGGUCUUAGGAUUGUAAAAUCCUUUCACCGGUGAAGAUAAUGACUGUAGCCGGAGAAGAAGCCCCGGCUAACUUCGUGCCAGCCGCCGCAGUAAGAC
rnacentral:rRNA from 1 species